GGGCGUGGAAGAGACGAUGCGGGCCGAAAGCCCCUUGGUCACGGCGCCGAGGCCCUCCUCCGCCAGCAGCUGCUUGAAGGUCUCCACCACCGACGAGCGGCCCUCCACCUGCAGCGGACGACUUUACUGGCGGAAAUUAUAGCCUUGGACCGUACCUGCACCCUGGCCCGGACCACGUCCAUGGGGUUGGUGAUGGUGGAGGCGGUGGCGGCGGCCAUGGGCCCGGCAAGCGCCUGCAGAAUGAGGUGGGGGCACUCGCUAGGUGCCAGCAGAGACAGCUGCUCUAUGGAUGCAAAAAAAACACAAAAAAAAAAAAAACUAUUAAUAUACGUCUCGGAUGAUGAGGACCAAAGGAGUUGCUCAGACUAAAUAGUAGUACAUUGAGAAUGGUCAAAUUUGAACAGCAUAAAAAGUCUUAAAAUCACAAGAGUAAUGUCGUCGUGCCCCAAAUGCAAAAAGUACAAAUGAGGUUGACAUUCUUUUGUCGUAAUUUAUAAAAACUACGUUCCAAUAUUAGAAGACUCAAGUCUUGAGUUUUCAAGAACAAAAAAAAAAAGUGAUUUUUUUCAUCGAAGCGGAAUAUGAUGGAAAUAAAUCUGUACUUACAA